rnacentral:tRNA from 1 species
AAAGGGAGACCUAAUUCGGGUAUAAGACGAAAAAAUAGUAGUCGAAACCAAGGAUCAAUCCCAAAAGGUCGGAACGAGGUAUGUGGCUUUCAAACUAGGUUCUGGGUUCAUAAAAGACCUGAAUCAGGAACAAGGGCUAUUAGCUCAGGUGGUUAGAGCGCACCCCUGAUAAGGGUGAGGUCCCUGGUUCGAGUCCAGGAUGGCCCACCUGCACAGGUGGCAAAAACAAAGAAAAGAAGCGAGGAAUCAGCACCUUAUCUUACUUAUAUAGUAAGAGAGAAUGCUGGCUCUGAGUACAGAGUCCAGAGGAACCUUGAAAACUGCAUAGAGCUAGGUGAAAAAGCCAAAAAAGAAGACCGCAAG